rnacentral:rRNA from 1 species
AUUGAACGCUGCGGCAGGCUUAACACAUGCAAGUCGAGCGAGCGGAAGACGGGUGAGUAAUGCUUAGGAAUCUGCCUAUUAGUGGGGGACAACAUCUCGAAAGGGAUGCAAAUACCGCAUACAAGUAGAGUAGACUAGGGCGGAUUAGCUAGUUGGUGGGGUAAAGGCCUACCAAGGCGACGAUCUGUAGCGGGUCUGAGAGGAUGAUCCGCCAAAUUGGGACUGAGACACGGCCCAGACUCCUACGGGAGGCAGCAGUGGGGAAUAUUGGACAAUGGGGGGAACCCUGAUCCAGCCAUGCCGCGUGUGUGAAGAAGGCCUUAUGGUUGUAAAGCACUUUAAGCGAGGAGGCGUUACUCGCAGAAUAAGCACCGGCUAACUCUGUGCCAGCAGCCGCGGUAAUUC